rnacentral:rRNA from 1 species
AGCGCUUGUGACCAGACUUGCGCCCGGUGAAUCACCCAGCUCUCGCGGCUGGGGCACUUUGCCGGCACAGGCCAGCAUCAGCUUGCCGUCGGGGACAAAAGCUUCAGGAACGUAGCUCUCUUCGGGGAGUGUUAUAGCCUGUUGCAUAAUACCCUUCGGCGGGCUGAGGUACGCGCUCCGCAAGGAUGCUGGCGUAAUGGUCAUCAGCGACCCGUCUUGAAAACCGGACCA